rnacentral:snoRNA from 1 species
AUCGUGCGGCACCGCUUAUAAUCCGUGUUGCUCAUAAGCCUCUUAGCACCAUAGGCUUGUUACUACUUGUAGUUGAAGAGCGUCAACAUAAGCGUAGACGAAAAGAGCAUCUUAGCACCCUUUCAUGACAUCCUGUUCCUACGAUGUUGUGAGGGUCGGGAGUUCAUACAUUA